UGGGCCGUCGCCAAGUGGAAAGGCAGCGGGUUUUGGUCCCGCCAUUCCUAGGUUCGAAUCCUAGCGGCCCAG
rnacentral:tRNA from 3 species